UGUGGGAGGAUUUACACUCCACUGUUCCUACUUCUCUACACAAAAAAGAGAGAAAACUCAACCGGUAUUUGGACAGAUGUGGAAAUCUGUAUAGUCUACUUCUGCCUUCAUACAAAAAUCACACAAAUGACACUAACGUCCAUUUUGGUAUCUUCUAGUACUAUUACUAUUAGUAGAGCAGUAGUAUUAGUAUUCUAAUAUUACUAGUAAUACUACUAGAUGAUAUUACUAACAGUAGUAGCAGCAGCAGCAACAGCACUACUGGUAUUCUAAUAUUACCAGUAGUACUGUUAGUAGAAGUAAUACUAGUAGAAGUAAUAGCAGUAAUAGUACUACUAGUAGAAGUAAUAGCAGUAGUAGUAUUACUGGUAGAAGUAAUAGCAGUAUAUUUACUACUAGUAGAAGUAAUAGCAGUAGUAUUAUU
ensembl:lncRNA